rnacentral:rRNA from 1 species
CUGGCUCAGAACGAACGCUGGCGGCGCGUCUUAAGCAUGCAAGUCGGACGGCAAGGGUUGUGCUUGCACAACUCCUAGAGUGGCGGACUGGUGAGUAACGCGUGGGUGACCUGCCCUCGAGAUGGGGAUAGCCAUUAGAAUAGUGGAUAAUACCGAAUACGCUCAGGACCCUGUGGGGAUAUGAGGAAAACAGGCUACGGCCUGGCUCGAGGAUGGGCCCGCGUCCCAUUAGCUAGUUGGUGAGGUAACGGCCCACCAAGGCGACGAUGGGUAUCCGGCCUGAGAGGGUGUACGGACACAUUGGGACUGAGAUACGGCCCAAACUCCUACGGGAGGCAGCAGCUAAGAAUAUUCCGCAAUGGACGAAAGUCUGACGGAGCGACGCCGCGUGGAUGAAGAAGGCCGGAAGGUUGUAAAAUCCUUUUGCUGGUGAAGAAUAAGUGUGGUAGGGAAUGACCGCAUGAUGACAUUAGUCGGUGAAUAAGCCCCGGCUAACUACGUGCCAGCCGCCGC